GACCUCAUAGCAUAUUGUGGAGUGCAUCUGCUUUCUAUUAGGAAGCAGUGUGAUGUUCAGCAGAAGGUCCCCGUUCGAUUCGGGGUCAGGUCC